rnacentral:rRNA from 1 species
UGGGGAAUAUUGCACAAUGGGCGCAAGCCUGAUGCAGCCAUGCCGCGUGUGUGAAGAAGGCCUCCGGGUUGUAAAGCACUUUCAGCGGGGAGGAAGGCGGUGAGGCUAAUAACCUCACCGAUUGACGUUACCCGCAGAAGAAGCACCGGCUAACUCCGUGCCAGCAGCCGCGGUAAUACGGAGGGUGCAAGCGUUAAUCGGAAUUACUGGGCGUAAAGCGCACGCAGGCGGUCUGUCAAGUCGGAUGUGAAAUCCCCAGGCUCAACCUGGGAACUGCAUUCGAAACUGGCAGGCUAGAGUCUUGUAGAGGGGGGUAGAAUUCCAGGUGUAGCGGUGAAAUGCGUAGAGAUCUGGAGGAAUACCGAUGGCGAAGGCGGCCCCCUGGACAAAGACUGACGAUCAGGUGCGAAAGCGUGGGGAGCAAACAGG